AGUUCUAAGAGAUGUCUCAAUCCAGAGGUUUGGAAAUUGAGCCUUUCAAGAAUCACAGCGUGUAGGUCUUGGGAAGGACCUAGAGAUGAUGCUGUCUAGAUUUCCCCAGCCUUCUCUUUGAACUUGACCUUCAACCGCUGGAUCUUGAACCAGAAAACAGUUGAAAGGACAUAGUGGAGACAGCGUGGGAUCAAGCAUGAAGACUGAGCUAUGUGCUGACGAGGACUUUCACCUGGGAGAAGAGCUCAUUCUUCCUAUCGUUUCCCUGGGAAGAACAUGGCUGAAACAACUUACUGUACAGACCACAGAAGUGAGACCAAAAACACUGAGAUGAGGAAGAGGUGUGGCAAAAUGGCUUUGUUGUGGUGGAAGAUGAAUUGUCGUCUCAAGGGGGCAGAGGACUGCCUGUGAGCUUCCUUAACAUGGAGCCCGAAACCGGUGUUUGCACAGUCCUUGAGGAAAGGGUUUGCUCAGCAAAUUAACAGUGUGAACAAGACUGCAGGAGGGACCAUUUACCUACCUGAGAACAAACUGUUUUCUAGCUCUUCAGCAGCACCACUUACGCACAAUUUUCAUGUGCUAAUGGCAAGUGAUUAUUACCUAGUUAGUGAAUAUACGUGGAAGACAUAAAAUAGCCUUUACUAUCCCCUGGUUGAGACAACUCGCUAACUCAGACUUGCCAGGUGCUCUGAAUUAGAGAGGUGCUACAGGAAUGUCCUCUCGGAUUUUUGGCGUUGAGCAUGCAUGCAUGUGAGCAGGGUGCCAUUUCUUCAGAAGAAAAAUAAAUGACAACAUUCUGUUUUGGGGCUUGAAACUGCAUGACUGAAAACAUAAAGGUGACAACUGUGAUAUGCUUUUUUAAUGAGGGCAGAGAUGUCAAGAGAAACCAGCCUUCUAGGAACAAAAGAAUACUCUGUCAGGUGCAGUGGACUUAAGACCUUUUUCUCUCUUGGAAUAAUGUCCUUAAAAAUAAC
rnacentral:lncRNA from 1 species